rnacentral:piRNA from 1 species
AAGAAUUCUCCCGAGCACUCUAAAGGAA